CUGGAUUCGCUAGUAAUCGCGCAUCAGCCACGGCGCGGUGAAUACGUUCCCGGGCCUUGUACACACCGCCCGUCAAGCCAUGGAAGCCGGGGGUGCCUGAAGUGCGCUGCCGCGAGGAGCGCCCUAGGGUAAAACCGGUNACUGGGGCUAAGUCGUAACAAGGUAAC
rnacentral:rRNA from 1 species